CAGCAGCCGCGGGAAUACGUAGGUCCCGAGCGUUGUCCGGAUUUAUUGGGCGUAAAGCGAGCGCGGGCGGUUAGAUAAGUCUGAAGUUAAAGGCUGUGGCUUAACCAUAGUACGCUUUGGAAACUGUUUAACUUGAGUGCAAGAGGGGAGAGUGGAAUUCCAUGUGUAGCGGUGAAAUGCGUAGAUAUAUGGAGGAACACCGGUGGCGAAAGCGGCUCUCUGGCUUGUAACUGACGCUGAGGCUCGAAAGCGUGGGGAGCAAACAGGAUUAGAUACCCCCGUAGUCCCUGUCUCUUAUACA
rnacentral:rRNA from 1 species